ensembl:misc_RNA Y_RNA Y RNA
GGCUGCUCUGAAUGCAGUGGUACAUAUAAGUAAUCGAUCACAACUAGUUUACACACAUUUCUUUGUUCCUUCUCCCCUCCCACUGCUUCACUUGACUAGCCUUAA